UACAGGUAUGACAAUAAAUUGUCACGUUAUCGACAUGACUGAGUGUUGAAAUAUUUUCCAUUAUGGUUGUAUGGCGCCACUAGUAACCUGAGCAUGUUAUUGACUCCAGAUGAUAUUUGAUAUAUAACAUAAAGAUGAGCAAUUUAAGUGGACAUACUUCAGUAUCCUAUGAAAGUGAUUUUAUACAGUUGACAGAACUUGCGGGAAUAAAAAUGCAACCAGAAAUAAUCAGGGUACUCCUAGAAUUGCUCAGCAUGAACAUUCAUCCCACUUCGAUUUACACUAUUCUACGUCAUCUUUGUGCCCGGCACGGACAGAAGGCACGUGCAGCUGCAGCCUGCCAGAAGCUCGCAAGCAAAAGUAAAAAGUAGAAAGUAAUGUUAUCUGUUGUGUUCCUAGUUCAGCCCAGUUGUCAUUAAAUAAAAGCAAACCUGAAUAUGAUGUAAAUCAAACAGUGAUUUAUUUACUUCUUGUGUGACAUAGUUGUAAAGUGAUGUAUAAAUCAAAUAUAUGUAUAGGUCUCAUCACUCUGAAUUUGUUAAUAGGCAUCUCAACUACAGGUAGGAGUUGUAGGAAGCAAACUGGCAGCAAAGCACUGUACUGUAUUUAUAUUUAAGGCUUUUUGUGUAUAAUAUCCAUAUCUUUGUUAAUAAAUAAUUGUAAAAAACACA